CUCUGGGGAAAGAGGGUGGACUUUAAUGAGAAACAGCUAGGUUUGAAUCUGAACCGUCUCUGCCAUUGGCUGUAGAAACUCAGGCAAGCCUCGUUGUGUGUGUGAACUGGCAUGAGUCCUCUGUGGAAUGGGAACACCGUCUACCCAGUGAUGUCUUGGUGAAUAUAUGGUAGAUUUUAGGGGCUUACAAAGGAUAGCUGUUCUCAUUACCUCUGGUUUUACAGAAUUGGGUGUCUGCGGCUAAAAUGAACCUCCGGGGGGGCCUGUUUCACACGUUCUUAGAGUCUGAGGCUGGGCCUUCCCGCCCUACUCCAUGGACUCCCCUGCAACAGAAGUGCUUUUCUGCCCCUUUACAACCCAAAGUCAAGUCACCUCACUUCCCCCACGCCCCCUACCCCAAUGCAACACCACCAUUCGGCAAGCCUCCCUCUGCCCUACUUCCUGCAGAGUUGGGGCAGGGAGGUCAGGGCGAAUAUUGCUCCUAGUUCCAGAUUCCACAGAAUUUCUAAAUUGCUAAAUUUCUCUGGUCUCAGCCAACAUGUGGCCAGUCUCCCUCUUUUUUUUUUUUUCCUUUUUAGGGCUGCACAAUAUGAGAUCCGAGCCGCACCUGAGACCUCCGCCACAGCUCACGGCAACACUGGAUCCUUAACCCACUCAGCGAGGCCAGGGAUCAAACCCACAUCCCUAUGGAUACUAGUCAGAGAUGAUGAGAUGGACCAUAUGUCUAAAAACAGUAAGUGAGGAGGCUGCGGAGAAGCAAUUGAAUCGAAACAAAGGCAGCAGUGGGAAGUCCCCCUCUGGCAAGGACUCCAAGACACAGAGCUGGUGCCAGAAUGGAAACCUUGGGACUCCGGUUGCUGCAUAGAAAAAUAAAUUGAGGAACAAAAAUAAACACCCACAUCUCCAUGCUGGACAGCAGAAGAGCAAGAAGAGUCUGAUUCCCAUAAAUGGACAGAAUCUGCACAGAUCUAGAAGAUGGAGACAAAGAACCCAUGGAUCAGAACAUCCCUCUUUGUAGAAGUCAGCAGAGCUGGGAGAGAGAUGAAGAUUCUGGUGAACGACUUCUGUGACAAAGCCAAAACAGUUUCCCAGAAAUUAGCUGCAUUUGGAGCUCAGAAUCGAGCACGAAGAAGUGGUCUCAGGAAGCAGGUGGAGAACCUUCUUCCAAAACAGCUCCUCAUGUGACCUUCCGUGGCCCAGGAAUCCCCUUCUCUGACCUCUUUGCAUCCUGAAGUCAUCCUACUGCUGCCACUUGAAACGUUCCGAAGCUCUGAAGACAUGCUUAAACAUCCUCCACGGAGACAAACACUGUGUCCUGCCACUUAUAUGAGAUACUUAGAUUAGAGUCACAUUCACGGAGACAGGGGUACAACAGGGGCUGCCAGGGGCUCAGAGAGGGGGGAUGGGGAGUCGAUGUUUUAUUAUGGAGCUUCAGCUUUAUAAGAUGAAAAGAUCUGUGGAGACGGCUGGGUGGUGAUGGCUGUACAGCAUCAUGAGUGCCGUGAAGGUGGCCAAUUUUGUCAUGUAUAUGUUACCACAAUAAAAAAAAAAUGGGAAAAAACC